GAGAGUUGUGCUUGUCCAUCACCUGAAGAUGACUUCCGCAUUGGAUGACCCAACCCUGGAGAGGCACUUCAAGGGCCACAGAGACACCAUAACAAGCGUUGACUUCAACUGUAACAUGAAACAAAUUGCGACCGGCUCCAUGGACUCCUGUCUCAUGAUCUGGAACUUGAAGCCCCAAAUGAGAGCCUAUCGGUUCGUGGGACAUAAAGACGCUGUGA